ensembl:lncRNA
AUUACCAUAAUGCAGAUAUGUCAUUCUCAGCUCCAGUCCAUUCCUGUAAAACCCAUUCUUCUUGUGCUCCUUCACAGAACCUUGACCAAACUUCAGUCACGGUGUAAAAUGAGGGUCUUGCUGCAUUUGGCAAAACAGACUGUUGUUGAAUUGCUUUUUGGAGUAACUGUUGAUGUUCCUUUGCCUGCCUGGUUUGCAUCAUUCAGGUGGCCCUUCUAUAAGCAUCAGCUCUGAGCAGAUGGAGACAGCCCUCGUGCCUUGUGAUCCAGGGUGUGAGCAUUCAGCUGCAGACCUGGAUAAGUCUCUUGAAGGAAUGCAUUUGAAGAUGCUGGAAUCCAGUUCCAGACAGACUGCGGUUGGCAGUCCUCAGUGCCCACCUGUUUCUGCACCCUGCAUAGAAGAAAGCCAAGCCCUGGAACAGAGCCAGGUCCUGGAGUAUCUAGCUGGUGACCCACGAAGCACUGACAUGUUCCAGGCAGUGUGGCUGCUCUCUCAAUUCUAAGUGGGGAACAAACGUGGCCUACCUGCAGAGAUGCUCAAUGUGGUC